GGGAAUUCCUGCUAUCCUGGAUGUGAUCCUCCCCCUCUACUCAGUCCUGAUGAGGCACAUCUGUGUCUGGCUCUGGGCUCCCCAGAACAGGAGAGACAUGGAGCUCCUCGAGCAGGUCAUCGGUU